UACGUAGGGGGCGAGCGUUGUCCGGAUUUAUUGGGCGUAAAGAGCUCGUAGGCGGUUUGGUAAGUCGGGUGUGAAAUCUCCACGCUCAACGUGGAGGGGCCACUCGAUACUGCCAUGACUCGAGUCCGGUAGAGGAGUGUGGAAUUCCCGGUGUAGCGGUGAAAUGCGCAGAUAUCGGGAGGAACACCCGUAGCGAAGGCGGCACUCUGGGCCGGAACUGACGCUGAGACGCGAAAGCGUGGGGAGCGAACCGG
rnacentral:rRNA from 1 species